rnacentral:rRNA from 1 species
GUGGCGAACGGGUGAGUAACACGUGAGUAACCUGCCCUUGACUCUGGGAUAAGCGUUGGAAACGACGUCUAAUACUGGAUACGACGACCGGCCGCAUGGCCUGGUUGUGGAAAGAUUUUUUGGUCAAGGAUGGACUCGCGGCCUAUCAGCUUGUUGGUGAGGUAAUGGCUCACCAAGGCGACGACGGGUAGCCGGCCUGAGAGGGUGACCGGCCACACUGGGACUGAGACACGGCCCAGACUCCUACGGGAGGCAGCAGUGGGGAAUAUUGCACAAUGGGCGCAAGCCUGAUGCAGCAACGCCGCGUGAGGGAUGACGGCCUUCGGGUUGUAAACCUCUUUUAGUAGGGAAGAAGCGAAAGUGACGGUACCUGCAGAAAAAGCACCGGCUAACUACGUGCCAGCAGCCGCGGUAAUACGUAGGGUGCAAGCGUUGUCCGGAAUUAUUGGGCGUAAAGAGCUCGUAGGCGGUUUGUCGCGUCUGCUGUGAAAUCCCGAGGCUCAACCUCGGGUCUGCAGUGGGUACGGGCAGACUAGAGUGCGGUAGGGGAGAUUGGAAUUCCUGGUGUAGCGGUGGAAUGCGCAGAUAUCAGGAGGAACACCGAUGGCGAAGGCAGAUCUCUGGGCCGUAACUGACGCUGAGGAGCGAAAGCGUGGGGAGCGAACAGGAUUAGAUACCCUGGUAGUCCACGCCGUAAACGUUGGGAACUAGAUGUGGGGGCCAUUCCACGGUCUCCGUGUCGCAGCUAACGCA